UACGUAGGGUGCAAGCGUUGUCCGGAAUUAUUGGGCGUAAAGGGCUCGUAGGCGGUCCGUCACGUCGGGAGUGAAAUUCCCGGGCUUAACCUGGGGGCUGCAUUUGAUACGUGUUGUCUUGAGUUCGGAAGAGGGUCGUGGAAUUCCCAGUGUAGAGGUGAAAUUCGUAGAUAUUGGGAAGAACACCGGUGGCGAAGGCGGCGACCUGGUCCGACACUGACGCUGAGGCGCGAAAGCGUGGGGAGCAAACAGG
rnacentral:rRNA from 1 species